rnacentral:rRNA from 1 species
UAAGGAAUAUUGGUCAAUGGACGCAAGUCUGAACCAGCCAUGCCGCGUGGAGGAUGAAGGCCCUCUGGGUUGUAAACUUCUUUUAUUUGGGAAGAAACCGGACUUUUCUAAGGCCGUUGACGGUACCAGAUGAAUAAGCACCGGCUAACUCCGUGCCAGCAGCCGCGGUAAUACGGAGGGUGCAAGCGUUAUCCGGAUUCACUGGGUUUAAAGGGUGCGUAGGUGGGCAGGUAAGUCAGUGGUGAAAUCUCUGGGCUUAACCCGGAAACUGCCGUUGAUACUAUCUGUCUUGAAUGUAGUGGAGGUGAGCGGAAUAUGUCAUGUAGCGGUGAAAUGCUUAGAUAUGACAUAGAACAUCGAUUGCGAAGGCAGCUCGCUACACUAUGAUUGACACUGAGGCACGAAAGCGUGGGGAUCAAACAGGAUUAGAUACCCCGGUAGUCC